GAUGAACGCUGGCGGCGUGCCUAAUACAUGCAAGUCGAGCGAACGGACGAGAAGCUUGCUUCUCUGAUGUUAGCGGCGGACGGGUGAGUAACACGUGGAUAACCUACCUAUAAGACUGGGAUAACUUCGGGAAACCGGAGCUAAUACCGGAUAAUAUUUUGAACCGCAUGGUUCAAAAGUGAAAGACGGUCUUGCUGUCACUUAUAGAUGGAUCCGCGCUGCAUUAGCUAGUUGGUAAGGUAACGGCUUACCAAGGCAACGAUGCAUAGCCGACCUGAGAGGGUGAUCGGCCACACUGGAACUGAGACACGGUCCAGACUCCUACGGGAGGCAGCAGUAGGGAAUCUUCCGCAAUGGGCGAAAGCCUGACGGAGCAACGCCGCGUGAGUGAUGAAGGUCUUCGGAUCGUAAAACUCUGUUAUUAGGGAAGAACAUAUGUGUAAGUAACUGUGCACAUCUUGACGGUACCUAAUCAGAAAGCCACGGCUAACUACGUGCCAGCAGCCGCGGUAAUACGUAGGUGGCAAGCGUUAUCCGGAAUUAUUGGGCGUAAAGCGCGCGUAGGCGGUUUUUUAAGUCUGAUGUGAAAGCCCACGGCUCAACCGUGGAGGGUCAUUGGAAACUGGAAAACUUGAGUGCAGAAGAGGAAAGUGGAAUUCCAUGUGUAGCGGUGAAAUGCGCAGAGAUAUGGAGGAACACCAGUGGCGAAGGCGACUUUCUGGUCUGUAACUGACGCUGAUGUGCGAAAGCGUGGGGAUCAAACAGGAUUAGAUACCCUGGUAGUCCACGCCGUAAACGAUGAGUGCUAAGUGUUAGGGGGUUUCCGCCCCUUAGUGCUGCAGCUAACGCAUUAAGCACUCCGCCUGGGGAGUACGACCGCAAGGUUGAAACUCAAAGGAAUUGACGGGGACCCGCACAAGCGGUGGAGCAUGUGGUUUAAUUCGAAGCAACGCGAAGAACCUUACCAAAUCUUGACAUCCUUUGACAACUCUAGAGAUAGAGCUUUCCCCUUCGGGGGACAAAGUGACAGGUGGUGCAUGGUUGUCGUCAGCUCGUGUCGUGAGAUGUUGGGUUAAGUCCCGCAACGAGCGCAACCCUUAAGCUUAGUUGCCAUCAUUAAGUUGGGCACUCUAAGUUGACUGCCGGUGACAAACCGGAGGAAGGUGGGGAUGACGUCAAAUCAUCAUGCCCCUUAUGAUUUGGGCUACACACGUGCUACAAUGGACAAUACAAAGGGCAGCGAAACCGCGAGGUCAAGCAAAUCCCAUAAAGUUGUUCUCAGUUCGGAUUGUAGCCUGCAACUCGACUACAUGAAGCUGGAAUCGCUAGUAAUCGUAGAUCAGCAUGCUACGGUGAAUACGUUCCCGGGUCU
rnacentral:rRNA from 1 species